AAUAAGUAAAUGAUGAUUAAAAAAAAAAAAAAAUCCAUAAUCUAGUACAUAAUUAGCAAAAUACAUAUCUACCGUUAAAGAAAAAUAAUACUUAGAAUAAAAAAUCUUUGGCAACCUUAUCUUUGUUUAGAAUGAGCAACAGAUGUCCCAAACACAUGCUCUACUUUUAGUUAAGAUAGAGGAAUGGGGAAGGGGAAGGGGAAGGGAAAGGGGAAGUGGAAGGGAAUGAAUCUUUUUUAAACAAAUUAUCUUUAUAUGUGCAUAUAUAAUUAUAUGCAUGUAUAAAUGUUAGUACUCUUACUACUAGCAUAGUAUUCAAUGCUAAGCUCCUCACUUUUUAAGGCAUCAAAGCAACUGUGACACUUCAUUGUUACCCUGGAUCCCCAUUGAACGGCCUCUCCCUGCAAAUUACCUUUAUCUAGGGACCUCUGUGUGGUUUCUUUGCUCCCUCUGUGUUUCAUCUCUUUAUUGCUGCAGAAAUCUCACCACCAAUAUGUUACUGUUGAAUUUCAAUCAACAUCUUUUUCGUCUUACUUUGCAGAAUUUUGGCAUCCCAGAGAUUCAGUCAGCCCUACCUUGCAAGGAAAAAAAAAAAUGUUUUUUCCACAGCAGACAAAAUAAAGAAUUUUCCUCAACUUUCUUCUGAGAGAAAAGACUACAGUGCUUUUAAAAUAUAGACUGAAUCUAUAUGGACUAAGGAAAAAAAAAAAAAAAAACAGGAAGCGGUUAUAGAAAACAUGAAAGUGUCAACCAUUGCUGAAGAGAGGAAGUCAUUAGAUGGACCUUUGAUAGUACUGUGUAGAAAUUCUUGUUAUGCAGGCAGCUGAUCCCUUCAAAGAGAUCAAAACCUUGGAUGCAAACCUGUUUAAUGUGCUUCUUAAUUUUAUCUCUCUGUGA
rnacentral:lncRNA from 1 species